rnacentral:lncRNA from 1 species
UCCUAUAGAUUUUGUAGUGAAUCCACAAUAUGCGGUCGUCACUGUCUCUGUUCUUACAGGCUGUACACAAAAGAGCUCACCUUAAACAAGCUGCAGGUGCAACAGGAAGUGAAGACUUUGUCAAAGAACAUCUGCAGUUAAUCGUGAUGAAAGUCUUCAGUGUCCUCACUAUCUCGUGUCCUUCAACAAUGUAUCAAGCACAAGAAGACCUAUGCUGUCCAAAGUGUCCUGCAGGAAAUCGAGUCAAGACAGAUUGCACAAAGACUGCAAACACUUCCUGUGUGGCCUGCGAGGGUGGAACCCACAUGGAUAAGCCCAGUGGACUCAAACAAUGCACUCACUGCACAAUCUGUGACCCAAGUAGGUUUUUAUUUAUGAAACUGCUGUUAAUGCCAUGUAAGAAUUAAGACAGUUAAAGAUGGUA